GCUCGGGCGGUGUAGUGGUGUCAUGUCAGUCUCACAGCACUCGCUGUUCUUCACUGAAGGUCCCAGGUUCGAGACCUGGUCCGAGCA